UUGAAUUUCCUAAGCUACAAUUUGUGCAAAACUAAUCUACUAUACAUUUAGCUAUGAUUUGUCAACAGAACUAAGUACAAAGUUUGACCAUUGUUCUCUAAUCUGGUUGACUUCGUCAUCUGUAUAUGAUUUGCCAACAAUCUUGAUUUCAUUAGUUGGCCAUUACUGAAUGAUCUCCUUCAUGAAUUUCAGCACGUAAUAGCCGUAAUCUACUUGGUUUGUUUGGCAAGGGAUCUGCAAUUAAAAUAAAGUAAACAUAUAAGUAUAACCUUAGUUGAAAUAUAUACAUUACAUAUAUAAUUGUUUGAGAUGAUUUAUGCCAAUACCUUUAUAUGAGUCCACUUGAUUUUGUGAUUUGGUAACUCGUUUCUACUACAAUUAUAGCUUCUGCAAACUCUCACCGCACUGAACAAUAGAAAAUGUACUUAAUUACUAAACAACUAGGAAAGUGAAAGUGUAACUAAAAGUUUAAAUGGGUAGUUCACUUAUCUAGAAAACAAAUCUUUCAUAGCGGAGUACUUGUUCAGAUCACCAUGUGACAAUGAGUCAAAGUAGUAUAUUUCUUCAUUGACUUGAUUGAUGGCAACCAAAACUCAAUGUUACCUAACAAAACAUAUGUACAUGGUUAGGAAUUAAGCACAACAAACAUACUAAAGAAAGAAAUAUAAAAGACAAUUAAAAAUGCUCAUCCGGUAUUAAAAGGUGCAAGAAAUAAAUCUGCAUCCUCUUUAUGAAGGAUGAGAUUAUCUGUAAUUCGUUCUCUCUAUUCCAAAAUCUUAUUUUUGUCACUUGACACCAAAGCGGAAAGGUGUGGGGAUAUGAACAUCACCUUUUUCUUAUUUACCGAAGUAAAAUUUUCAUACAAG
rnacentral:lncRNA from 1 species